CAGCAGCCGCGGGAAUACGAAGGUCCCGAGCGUUGUUCGGAAUCACUGGGCGUAAAGGGAGCGUAGGCGGCGUGGUAAGUCAGAUGUGAAAUCCCGGGGCUCAACCCCGGAACUGCAUCCGAUACUGCUGUGCUAGAGGAUUGGAGAGGUAGCUGGAAUUCUUGGUGUAGCAGUGAAAUGCGUGGAGAUCAAGAGGAACACUCGUGGCGAAAGCGAGCUACUGGACAAUAUCUGACGCUGAGGCUCGAAGGCCAGGGUAGCGAAAGGGAUUAGAUACCCGAGUAGUCCCUGUCUCUUAUAC
rnacentral:rRNA from 1 species